rnacentral:misc_RNA from 1 species
GUUUGAACAAGGAGUAGUAUCGACUAAAAAAAGAGUAGAUUAUUCAUUGCCAGAUGAUGAUAUUAUCAUUUUCAAAUGAGAAGUAAGCUAAGUUUCUCCAUAUAUUUGUUUCUUCUGAAUUAUGAUAUUAAUUAGCUAGAUUAGGCCUUUCACUGCGACAAGAAAGGGAAUAUAAAUUUUCGUUUAAGAUGCUAUAAAAUUCUAAAUUUUAAGCAUCACUGGACUGCAAUUUAUUGGGUUGGUGAGUGGUGGUGUG